rnacentral:rRNA from 1 species
GGCCCAGACUCCUACGGGAGGCAGCAGUGGGGAAUUUUGGACAAUGGGCGAAAGCCUGAUCCAGCAAUGCCGCGUGCAGGAUGAAGGCCUUCGGGUUGUAAACUGCUUUUGUACAGAACGAAACAGUCUCUCCUAAUACGGGGGCGAAUGACGGUACUGUAAGAAUAAGCACCGGCUAACUACGUGCCAGCAGCCGCGGUAAUACGUAGGGUGCAAGCGUUAAUCGGAAUUACUGGGCGUAAAGCGUGCGCAGGCGGUUUUGUAAGACAGAUGUGAAAUCCCCGGGCUCAACCUGGGACCUGCAUUUGUGACUGCAAAGCUAGAGUACGGCAGAGGGGAUGGAAUUCCGCGUGUAGCAGUGAAAUGCGUAGAUAUCGCGGAGGAACACCGAUGGCGAAGGCAAUCCCCUGGGCCUGUACUGACGCUCAUGCACGAAAGCGUGGGGAGCAAAACAGGAUUAGAUACCCUGGUAGUCCACGCCCUAAACGAUGUCCAAUGGUUGUUGGGCCUUCGCUGGCU